rnacentral:rRNA from 1 species
AGACAGUCUCAGGCGGGCAGUUUGACUGGGGCGGUCGCCUCCCAAAUGGUAACGGAGGCGCGCGAUGGUAGGCUCAGGUCGGUUGGAAAUCGAUCGUUGAGUGCAAUGGCAUAAGCCUGCCUGACUGUGAGACUGACAAGUCGAACAGAGACGAAAGUCGGUCAUAGUGAUCCGGUGGUUCUGUGUGGAAGGGCCAUCGCUCAACGGAU